rfam:Dipodomys ordii contig_53761, whole genome shotgun sequence.
GGGAAAGUGACUCAGUGGUAGAGUGCUUGCCUUGCAUGCAUGAGGCCCUGGGUUCGAUUCCUCAGCACCA